AGGGCCCGCACAAGCAGCGGAGCGUGUGGUUUAAUUCGAUGUUACACGAAGAACUUACCAGGUUUGACAUGCAAGUGGUAGCGAAGCGAAAGCGGAGCGACCCUUCGGGGAGCUUGCACAGGUGCUGCAUGGCUGUCGUCAGCUCGUGUCGUGAGAUGUUCGGUUAAGUCCGCUAACGAGCGCAACCCUCGUCGUGUGUUACAAGUGUCACGCGAGACCGCCGGUCAUAAACCGGAGGAAGUGGGGAUGACGUCAAGUCAGCAUGGCCUUUAUGUCCUGGGCUACACACACGCUACAAUGGCCAGUACAAUUGGUAGCUAAGCCGCGAGGUGGAGCCAAUCCGUAAAAGCUGGCCUCAGUUCAGAUUGUAGGCUGCAACCCGCCUGCAUGAAGAUGGAGUUGCUAGUAACCGCAGGUCAGCAAUACUGCGGUGAAUACGUUCCCGGGUCUU
rnacentral:rRNA from 1 species